GCAGCAUAUUUUGUUUUCAUAGUAAAUUGUACUAUAGAUAUUUCCUUGAAAUAAUGAUAUGUGUGUUUCUCCGCCUCCUUUUAAUUCUGUUUGGGACAUAUCAUUCAGAUUAACAAUAGUUCUUGUCUUCCUACUGUUGAUUACCAAUAGUUUACCAUCACUUGCUACUCCUUCACAUUGAUGAAAAAGAUUAAUUGUUUGAAUAAUUUUAUCCUCUUCUACAUCCACCAGCAUCGUCUUGUUGAUUAUUCCUAAAGCAACUGUAUUAUUUGUGACAAAG
rnacentral:lncRNA from 1 species